rnacentral:rRNA from 1 species
GGGAAUCUGCCCUUGGGUUCGGAAUAACGUCGGGAAACUGACGCUAAUACCGGAUGAUGACGAAAGUCCAAAGAUUUAUCGCCCAGGGAUGAGCCCGCGUAGGAUUAGCUAGUUGGUGAGGUAAAGGCUCACCAAGGCAACGAUCCUUAGCUGGUCUGAGAGGAUGAUCAGCCACACUGGGACUGAGACACGGCCCAGACUCCUACGGGAGGCAGCAGUAGGGAAUAUUGGACAAUGGGGGCAACCCUGAUCCAGCAAUGCCGCGUGAGUGAUGAAGGCCUUAGGGUUGUAAAGCUCUUUUACCCGAGAUGAUAAUGACAGUAUCGGGAGAAUAAGCUCCGGCUAACUCCGUGCCAGCAGCCGCGGUAAUACGGAGGGAGCUAGCGUUGUUCGGAAUUACUGGGCGUAAAGCGCACGUAGGCGGCGAUUUAAGUCAGAGGUGAAAGCCCGGGGCUCAACCCCGGAACUGCCUUUGAGACUGGAUUGCUUGAAUCCUGGAGAGGUGAGUGGAAUUCCGAGU